GCGUCGGUAGCGCAACGGUUCAGCACGCGCUCCCGAAGGAGUGAGAUCUGGGUUCGAAUCCCAGCGGACGCC